AAUGAACGUUGGCGGCGUGGAUUAGGCAUGCAAGUCGUACGGGCCAGCAAUGGUCAGUGGCGAAAGGGAGAGGAAUACGCAGGUAUCUACCUCCGGGUCGGGGAUAGCCACGGGAAACUGUGGGUAAUACCCGAUAACGUCUCCGGACCAAAGGUGUGAUUCCACCUGGAGAGGAGCCUGCGUCCUAUUAGCUUGUUGGCGGGGUAACGGCCCACCAAGGCUACGAUGGGUAUGGGGUGUGAGAGCAUGCCCCCGCUCACUGGGACUGAGACACUGCCCAAACACCUACGGGUGGCUGCAGUCGAGAAUCUUCCGCAAUGGGCGCAAGCCUGACGGAGCGACGCCGCGUGUGGGAUGAAGGCCUUCGGGUUGUAAACCACUGUCGUAGGGGAGGAAGGACCGGUGCAGAGCCGGUUUUGACCUAUCCUAGGAGGAAGGGUGGGCUAAGUUCGUGCCAGCCGCCGCCGUAACAC
rnacentral:rRNA from 1 species